rnacentral:rRNA from 1 species
GACGAACGCUGGCGGCGUGCUUAACACAUGCAAGUGGAGCGACGAACCAGGGCUUGCCCUGGGGCAGAGCCGCGAACGGGUGAGUAACACGUGGGUAACGUACCCCGAUGACUGGGACAACCCGGGGAAACCCGGGCUAAUACCGGAUGUGCCCCCUCACGCAAGUGAGGUGUGUAAAGGAAGCUUCGGCCUCCGCAUCGGGAUCGGCCCGCGGCCCAUUAGCUUGUUGGUGAGGUAACGGCUCACCAAGGCUGCGAUGGGUAGCUGGUCUGAGAGGACGAUCAGCCACACUGGGACUGAGACACGGCCCAGACUCCUACGGGAGGCAGCAGUGGGGAAUCUUGCGCAAUGCGCGAAAGCGUGACGCAGCAACGCCGCGUGGGGGAAGACGGCCUUCGGGUUGUAAACCCCUUUCAGUUGGGACGAAGGUCGGGCGGUGAAUAGCCGCUCCGGCUGACGGUACCUUCACAAGAAGCCCCGGCUAACUACGCGCCAGCAGCCGCGGUAAUACGUAGGGGGCAAGCGUUGUCCGGAAUCAUUGGGCGUAAAGAGCGUGUAGGCGGCCCGGUAAGUCCGCUGUGAAAGUCGAGGGCUCAACCCUCGAAUGCCGGCGGAUACUGUCGGGCUAGAGUCCGGAAGA